CAGCCGCCGCGGUAACACGGAGGGUGCAAGCGUUAAUCGGAAUUACUGGGCGUAAAGCGCACGCAGGCGGUCUGUCAAGUCAGAUGUGAAAUCCCCGGGCUUAACCUGGGAACUGCAUUUGAAACUGGCAGGCUAGAGUCUUGUAGAGGGGGGUAGAAUUCCAGGUGUAGCGGUGAAAUGCGUAGAGAUCUGGAGGAAUACCGGUGGCGAAGGCGGCCCCCUGGACAAAGACUGACGCUCAGGUGCGAAAGCGUGGGGAGCAAACAGGAUUAGAUACCCCUGUAGUCCCUGUCUCUUAUCC
rnacentral:rRNA from 1 species